AACGCAGCGAAGGGCGAUAAGUAAUGUGAAUUGCAGAAUUCAGUGAAUCAUCGAAUCUUUGAACGCACAUUGCACCCCUUGGCAUUCCGAGGGGUAUGCCUGUUCGAGCGUCAUUUAUACCUCAAGCUCUAGGCUUGGUGAUGGGCAAUGUCAUCUAGGCAUGCCUGAAAAUCAGAGGCAGUGAAGCCUGAGUGCGGAAGCGUAGUGAUUAAUUUUAUAACCGCUUAGGCCUCAGGUGAAGCUUGCAGAACACCGAAACUCUUUGUUUUUGACCUCGGAUCAGGUAGGGAUACCCGCUGGACUUAA
rnacentral:rRNA from 1 species